CAAUAGCGUAUAUUAAAGUUGUUGCGGUUAAAAAGCUCGUAGUUGGAUUUCGGCGGACAGGGGGCGGUUCGAUAUUUGUCGCUACUGCCCCAUUUGUCCGUGUUUUUGGCGGAGGUUUCGGGGUGCUCUUCGUUGAGUGACCCGGGGCGCCGUCAGGUUUACUUUGAAAAAAUUAGAGUGCUCAAAGCAGGCUUUUCACGCUUGAAUAUUCGUGCAUGGAAUAAUGGAAUAGGAACUCGUUUCUAUUUUGUUGGUUUUCGGAAAUCGAGUUAAUGAUUAAUAGGGACAAUUGGGGGCAUUAGUAUUCAGACGACAGAGGUGAAAUUCUUGGACCGUCUGAAGACUAACUACUGCGAAAGCAUUUGCCAAGAGUGUUUUCAUUAA
rnacentral:rRNA from 1 species